GCUCCGCCCAAGUGACCGUCAUCUGUGAUCGGGUACUGCGCUCAUUGGCCGUGGUGUUGUUCCAGAUUGUGAACACCCUAUGGUAGCAAUUGCGUCACACCUGGAGGCGAAGAGGGUCGGAAACGACCUGUCCGUGGCGGCCAGCUUCCACACGAUCCACCGGUAGUGGUUGGGCACCCACUUCUCCGAUGGCAGCAAGGAAGGGUCCACGCCAGGACUCGACAGGAACGCCCGGGUGACCUCCUCCACGCCGGCGAACCCCGCAGAGUCCAGGAUUAGCAGCGCGCCGUCACCCACUGCGAUGCCAGCGACAUUGCUCCGGCACACGUCCGGGCUGGAACACGACCCCCUCUCGUCACCGUGGCCGGCUUUGCUGGAGUCGGCUUCUGCGAUUACUAGGUUUUUUGAAUUCAAAUAAAAUUUUGAAUUGAUUAUCAAUUAUUUUUCGAAAAAAAUAAUUUUAACAUACAGUAAAGCUUUUUGUUUCCACACUUCACACGAGUCGAAGAAAAAUUGAUUCAAAAUACAGUAAAGAGAGAAAUGUAUAUGGAUCCAUAAAUUAAAUAAAUUAAAAAGCCUGGCAAUUAAUUUUCU